rnacentral:tRNA from 1 species
AGAGUAUAGCGCAGUGGUAGCCUGCACGUCUAGCAUUCGUGAGGUCCUGGGUUCAAUUCCCAGUACCUCUG